GACGAACGCUGGCGGCGUGCCUAAUACAUGCAAGUAGAACGCUGAAGAGAGGAGCUUGCUCUUCUUGGAUGAGUUGCGAACGGGUGAGUAACGCGUAGGUAACCUGCCUUGUAGUGGGGGAUAACUAUUGGAAACGAUAGCUAAUACCGCAUAACAAUGGAUGACACAUGUCAUUUAUUUGAAAGGGGCAAUUGCUCCACUACAAGAUGGACCUGCGUUGUAUUAGCUAGUAGGUGAGGUAAUGGCUCACCUAGGCGACGAUACAUAGCCGACCUGAGAGGGUGAUCGGCCACACUGGGACUGAGACACGGCCCAGACUCCUACGGGAGGCAGCAGUAGGGAAUCUUCGGCAAUAGGGGCAACCCUGACCGAGCAACGCCGCGUGAGUGAAGAAGGUUUUCGGAUCGUAAAGCUCUGUUGUAAGUCAAGAACGGGUGUGAGAGUGGAAAGUUCACACUGUGACGGUAGCUUACCAGAAAGGGACGGCUAACUACGUG
rnacentral:rRNA from 1 species